GUCCCCUUUUAGCAUCACUUUGGUGACUGUCCUUCAGUGAUCACCCCUGAGAUCUGCAGAUGGGAAUUAAUCCCAGUACCAUAGAGCGUGGGCAAAGCCUCAUUAACUCAGCCCUACCAUCCUUUCAAACAGGCUUUUUCCCAGGAAGUGCUCAAAGCUGUGAGGCUUUUCUCCGCCACAAGAUGACCCUGAUCUCCCCAUUAAUGCUGAAGAAGUAUGGCAUUCCCUUUGACAAGGUGACCCAAG
rnacentral:lncRNA from 1 species